ACUUCCGGUGACGUCACGGGCGGGCCGCCGCGGUGGCCCGCGAGGUGGCUCGGGCGACGGCACGUGCGACCCCAGGUGUCUGCCUCUGCACCUGCGGACGGAGAGCGAGCCCAGCCUCGCAGGUGUCCUUUACCGACGCCCAGCGUGUGAGGAAGUGGGGUUCGCUUUGUACUUUAUUACGCGUGGUGAAGUCUGCGGGUUGCUUCCAACGAGGCGCUGAACAGCCCCAAGAAAUAAACCUAAGAUCGGGGAGGAAACGAUUUUCUUUCCCAACAGCCAUAAGAGGUUAUGGCAAAAUAAUUUGAUUUUGACGUCAGGCAAGUCUUUCUUAAAGAAUGAGAGAUUAAGCAGUGACUUUUGAGCGAGGGAGACUUUAGCCAAACUAACCGGGAGGGGAAAGAGAUGCUUAGCGGUGGAAGGAACAAUGUAUAAGAAGAGAAAUAAGAAGAUAUUGGAGUGUGAGAAAAGUCUACCCUUAAUGUCAACACUGUUGGAGAAGACCAAAGAGGCCCAAGUGGAUGAAGAAAGGGAGUACCAGCCUCCUGAAACAAAGUGGCAUAGAGUCAGCUUUCUACAAGAAUCAGUGACUGCUGAUAAAGGGUCAGUAAAAUUGGCAAACCUCUGGCAACACUGACAAAGAAAAAAAGGACACAAAUUACCAAUAUUGGGAAUGAAAUGAGCCAUCACCACAGUCUCUGCAGAGGAUAAGGAAAUGUUACAAACCACCUUACGUACUUAAAUUUGACAACUUAGAAUAAAUGGACUAAUGCCUUAUAAAACAUAAACUAUAAUAAUGCACCCAGUAUGACAUAGAUAAUUUGAAUAGCCCUAUAAUUAUUAGGGUAAUUGAACUCAUAAUUUUAAAACUCUUAGAAAGAAAUCACCAUGCCCAGAUGGUUUCACUGGAGGAAUCUGUCAAACAUUUAAAAGAGAAUUAAUAUAAAUUCUACACAAUAUCUUCCUGAAAGUAAAAGAUGGAACGUAGUUUUGCCUUGUUACUAAAACCAGGCAGUAUGAACAAAAAUAAAAACAAACAAAAAACUACAGAUCUAUAUUAUUUAUUAAUAUAUAUGCAAAUAUCCUUAACAAAUAUUAGCAAACAGAAUUCAGUCAAUAAGAAGAAUUGUAUUCCAUGGUUAAGAGUCUAUUCCAGAACUGCAGGGCUAAUUUCAGUAUUCAGAAAUAAGCUGAUGUGAUCCACCAUAUUAAUAGGCUAAAAAAAAAAAUCACAUGCUUAUAUCAAUUGAUAUAGAAAAACAACUUGACAAAAUUCAACAUCCAUUCUUGAUAAACGUAGGAAUAGAGAGUAAAUUUCUCACUUUGAUAAAGAAAACCAAAAAACAAACCUCUAACUAACAUUUUACUUAAUGGUGAGAAACUCUUUUCCCUUAAGAUCAUGAACAAGAUUAGGAUGUCAGUUCUUACCACUCCUGUUCAACAGAGUGCUGGAACUUCUAACCAGUGCAAUAGUCAAGAAAAGGAAAUCACGGGAUCCCUGGGUGGCGCGGCGGUUUAGCGCCUGCCUUUGGCCCAGGGCGCAAUCCUGGAGACCCGGGAUCGAAUCCCACGUCGGGCUCCCGGUGCAUGGAUCCUGCUUCUCCCUCUGCCUGUGUCUCUGCCUCUCUCUCUCUCUCUCUC